rnacentral:tRNA from 1 species
ACUUUUAAAGGAUAAAAGCUAUCCAUUGGUCUUAGGAUCCAAAAAUUUUGGUGCAAAUCCAAAUGAAAGUA